ACGCUGGCGGCGUGCCUAACACAUGCAAGUCGAACGGAGUAAAGAGCUCGGUUUUUUACUUAGUGGCGAACGGGUGGGUAACGCGUGAGGAACCUGCCUUUCAGUGGGGGACAACAGUUGGAAACGACUGCUAAUACCGCAUAACAUACACGGACCGCAUGAUCUGUGUAUCAAAGCUUUAUGUGCUGAAAGAUGGCCUCGCGUCUGAUUAGCUAGUUGGUGGGGGUUAAACGGGCCCACCAAGGCGACGAUCAGUAGCCGGUCUGAGAGGAUGAACGGCCACAUUGGGACUGAGAUACGGCCCAGACUCCUACGGGAGGCAGCAGUGGGGAAUAUUGGGCAAUGGGGGAAACCCUGACCCAGCAACGCCGCGUGAAGGAAGAAGGCCUUCGGGUUGUAAACUUCUUUUAGCAGGGACGAAUACGUGACGGUACCUGCAGAAAAGCAACGGCUAACUACGUG
rnacentral:rRNA from 1 species